UCCUGUUAUUUGUAGUGAGGAAGUCUUCUUAUGACUAUCUCAAUUCCAUCUGCAGGAGCAAGUUUGUCUCUUGUGAAAAAUCAGCAGCCUCACAGAAUACAGGGUCUGGGAUGAGAGUCCACUGAGAAAGUACAGCCUGGAUUUCAUCAGAAUCCUCGCCUCUAGGAGAUUCCUGUUAACAUCAGUGUCAUAAUGCUGUAGACAACAACCAUGCUAGUGCUCCCACAACAUAGAGAAAAAGAGGCUAAAGGAUUGGGCUGCCUGAAUCAGGAAAAGAAUAGAAUAGAAUGGUCCUUCCCAGAUGAACCUGAGUUUGAGUGGCUUUCACUCCUCCCUGAUUUGAGGAGCAUGGUACAGGGAAGCUGGCCACAUACUCUGAUGGUGACUUUCAUGCAAGCCUCGUCUUUGUCUCAGGUGGCAUACACUGAUUAUACACAGGUCUCCUGCUACCCAUGUUCUUCUUUGACACUGACAAGGCUGUACCUGUCUUGCUGGCCUGAGGCCCGAAGAAACACUCAUAUGGUUUGCUCCUUGCCAGAAAAUACCAUGAGCCACUCUAAGAAAACUCUCACCUAGCAAAGACCACUCCACCUAUCUUGAUCAACAGCCGGCAGCAACACAUUGCAGAUAUAAUCUCAAGACCUUGUGGCAUGUACUUGUCACUACAUGCAUAACUUACUAUGGACAGAGGAUCACGGAGAUUUUGAACAUAAUUUCCCACACGACAGGAGAUUAAAUAGACCACAUUGGAAGAAAGCAAGAAGAAGCUAGGUCUCUGGAGUACCAAAAAGUAAACUUCAGCCACCUCUGGAAGCAGAGACACAGCAGGAAUGGGCUACUUUCUCAAUAGUUCUUGCUUUCAAGAACUCUAAAGUAUGAGUUAUUUGAUUCUAAGUAAGAUUCUAAUAAAAAAGGGCCCAGCUCAGGGAAGAUUUGCAAUGAAAGGAAAUCAUGCUCUCCUCAUUAUGUCUUUCCUUCUCAUCUCCCUUUGUGAUGCUACCUUUCUUAGGGAGUCCACUUCUUCACCCCAAGAACUCACUACCCCAUCAGAACCUGCUCAUGAAAUUGCAUUCCUACUACCUAUAAUAGAAUAUUAUAUCAACCUCCUCCCAUUCUGAUGUGUUUACAUAAAGCAUAAGACAUCAGUGAAUAAGAAAAAAAGACACUUUUACAAAAAGAACUUUCCCAACGUCCCAGAAACCAUUCCUCGCAGGAUCCUAGAGAAGAAUCUUGGAUCUGCAGCCCUUAGUAGCCUUCCUUGAAAGAAUAAAGUAACAACUGUACCUACCUACAGGAUGUUUCUUGAAAGAAUAAAAUAAUAAUUGUACCUACCUACAGGAUGGUUCUGGAGGCUAAACGGAUUCAUUCAUGCAAAGCUGCAGAGCAGUGCCUGACACAGAAUGAUGCUUAAUAUGUGCUACUUAUUAUCUUUGCCACUGCUUGUUG
rnacentral:lncRNA from 1 species